GGAAUACCCUGGAGAGAUUUGUCGCAGACCUUUUGAAAUUCAGGCUGUCACUGUCAUCGGAAACAUCCCAGCUGAAAGCACAGGGCAGUACUUCAAUGCCUACAAUACCUAUCUAGGCUUCAUUUGCCUCAAUGCAGAUCAGCCAUUUGGUAAAAAAUGCAGGGACUACAAGGUUCGCUUCAGAUGUCCAUGUCGAAUUCCAAUUGACUGAAUCCACGGCUGAAAAUGACCUGAAAGAAAUGAAAAAUGGGAUUUUAUGCAGAUUUUUGUUCCUUUUUCUGUCACUUUAGCAAGUUUUAGUCACUUGUUAUUGGGGCCCUUUUACUAACUAUGGUGAAAAGUCUGUGGGUGAUCUCUAUAUUUUUUUCAACUGUGAAAAAAAUAUCUACAGCAAUAAAAAUGAUUAACAAAAGCAAA